UACACACUGUCCUUUGGCCUGGAUGACCUCAUAUAAAUCCCCUCCUGUUCUAAUUCACUGCCCACAGCCCUGCUGAUAAAAGCAAAGCUCAUCUCUGCCGUGCUGCAGGGAACCCUAUUUCCUUCCCCUGCAGCUCAGCCACCUCCUCCUCUCAGGUCUGCCAGCCAUGAAACUUCUUUACCUGUUUCUUGCCAUCCUUCUGGCCAUAGAAGAACCAGUGAUAUCAGCUCUGGUGAGGACAGUGGGAUGCUGCCUGGAUACUGCCAGGCAAACGCCACAUCCUUCGAUGCAUGGGUAACAGUGGAAUUUGUAGGGCCUCUUGCAAAAAGAACGAACAGCCCUACCUCUAUUGCAGAAAUUGUCAGUCCUGCUGCCUCCAGUCCUACAUGAGGAUAAGCAUUUCUGGCAAAGAGGAAAAUACCGACUGGUCUUAUGAGAAGCAGUGGCCAAGACUACCUUGAGUGCUGGUGAUUACCAUUCUCAAGCUCUCUGGGCACAGAGACCUGCUGUCAACCCCCCUCAUUAAAAUUCAUGUGCCUGCUAC